CAGACUCAGAUGGAUGAUGCUUCUGGUCAAACCAAGUCUCCUCAACAGGAGAACAGUAUUGCUGCUAAUAGCAGAGCAGCAGGUGACUCUGAUCCUUCUCUCCAGUCACAGACUCAGAUGGAUGAUGCUUCUGGUCAAACCAAGUUUCCUCAACAGAUUGCGACCCAGCGCCAAAAUUAGAUUUUUGUGCCAAGACUGAGAUGGACUAAAAGUAUCAUAGCAAGUUUGUCACAACAAAGAGACUUGAUGUCUUUUUUUUUUCUUUUUCUUUUUUUGUAUUCCUCAGAUCAUUCUCAUCAUCAAUAAUAAUUUAUGUAAUAUUAGUAUUCUUAUGUGAUAUUGACUGCAAAAUAUCAGAGAAUACAAUUUAAUUUUACUUUAACACCAGAAUUAUGUGAUCAGAUAUAUAUAUUUUUUGUCAGAUCAACUGUCCAUAACUUUUGCAUUGAGAACUUUAUUAUAACAUAGUAAGAAGCAGCAAAUCAUCACAUGUAACUUGCAAACUUGAGGGGGAAAAAAAUUUCAAUAGAUUAACAGAGACACAGUACAUUGGCUAUUAUUUUCAAAAUCAAAUGAUCAGUUAAUUGCAGCAGUUCUACCGAUUUCUUUUUUUUUUAGAUGAAAGACACAAAUCUUGAAGAUUCUGGUGAGCUCUUUGAUUCUACACCAGA